rnacentral:rRNA from 1 species
GAUGAACGCUGGCGGCGUGCCUAAUACAUGCAAGUCGAGCGAACAGACGAGGAGCUUGCUCCUCUGACGUUGGCGGCGGACGGGUGAGUAACACGUGGAUAACCUACCUAUAAGACUGGGAUAACUUCGGGAAACCGGAGCUAAUACCGGAUAAUAUAUUGAACCGCAUGGUUCAAUAGUGAAAGACGGUUUUGCUGUCACUUAUAGAUGGAUCCGCGCCGCAUUAGCUAGUUGGUAAGGUAACGGCUUACCAAGGCAACGAUGCGUAGCCGACCUGAGAGGGUGAUCGGCCACACUGGAACUGAGACACGGUCCAGACUCCUACGGGAGGCAGCAGUAGGGAAUCUUCCGCAAAGGGCGAAAGCUUGACGGAGCAACGCCGCGUGAGUGAUGAAGGUCUUCGGAUCGUAAAACUCUGUUAUUAGGGAAGAACAAAUGUGUAAGUAACUAUGCACGUCUUGACGGUACCUAAUCAGAAAGCCACGGCUAACUACGUG